rnacentral:rRNA from 1 species
UACGGGGGGGGGCAAGCGUUGUUCGGAAUUACUGGGCGUAAAGGGUCCGUAGGUGGCUUGCUUAGUCAGACGUGAAAUCCCUCAGCUUAACUGGGGAACUGCGUCUGAUACUGGCGAGCUUGAGUGCAGGAGAGGAACGCGGAAUUCCAGGUGUAGCGGUGAAAAUGCGUAGAUAUCUGGAGGAACACCGGUGGCGAAGGCGGCGUUCUGGACUGCAACUGACACUGAUGAACGAAAGCCAGGGGAGCAAACGGG